UACGGAGGGGACUAGCGUUGUUCGGAAUUACUGGGCGUAAAGCGCACGUAGGCGGAUGUGUCAGUCAGGGGUGAAAUCCCGGAGCUCAACUUCGGAACUGCCUUUGAUACAGCACGUCUUGAGUCCGAUAGAGGUGGGUGGAAUUCCUAGUGUAGAGGUGAAAUUCGUAGAUAUCGAGAGGAACACCGGUGGCGAAGGCGGCCAACUGGACGAAUACUGACGCUGAGACACGAAAGCGUGGGGAGCAAACAGG
rnacentral:rRNA from 1 species